rnacentral:rRNA from 1 species
AUUAAAGAGAUAGGGUCUUCAUGGCCCGACCUCCACCCUCUGUUGUUAAAACUACCUUGUUGCUUUGGCGGGACCGUCUCGGUCUCCGAGCGCACUAACCCUCGGGUUGGUGAGCGCCCGCCAGAGUCCAACCAAACUCUUGUAUUAAACCAGUCGUCUGAGUAUAAAAUUUUAAUUAAAUUAAAACUUUCAACAACGGAUCUCUUGGUUCUCGCAUCGAUGAAGAACGCAGCGAAAUGCGAUAAGUAAUGUGAAUUGCAGAAUUCAGUGAAUCAUCGAAUCUUUGAACGCACAUUGCGCCCCUUGGUAUUCCGAGGGGCAUGCCUGUUCGAGCGUCAUUACACCACUCAAGCAUCGCUUGGUAUUGGGAACGGUCCGUCGAAAGGCGGGCCUUCCUCGAAGACCUCGGCGGGGUUCAACCAACUUCGGGCGUAGUAGAGUUAAAUCGAACGUCUUAUAAGCUUGGUCGGAUCUCAUUGCCGUUAAACCUUUAAAUUUUCUAGGUUGACCUCGGAUCAGGUAGGGAUACCCGCUG